GGGUGAUUAGCUCAGCUGGGAGAGCACCUCCCUUACAAGGAGGGGGUCGGCGGUUAACAGGUCGAUCCGCGCAAAGCCGCCGUCGAAGCCGCUAUUGCCCG
rnacentral:tRNA from 1 species